UAAAAACAAGUUCGGGCAGUGA
rnacentral:siRNA from 1 species